rnacentral:rRNA from 1 species
UGGGGAAUAUUGGACAAUGGGGGCAACCCUGAUCCAGCCAUGCCGCGUGAGUGAUGAAGGCCUUCGGGUUGUAAAGCUCUUUUGGCGGGGACGAUGAUGACGGUACCCGCAGAAUAAGCCCCGGCUAACUUCGUGCCAGCAGCCGCGGUAAGACGAAGGGGGCUAGCGUUGUUCGGAAUUACUGGGCGUAAAGCGAGUGUAGGCGGUUGCCGUAGUCAGGUGUGAAAGCCUUGAGCUCAACUCAAGAAAUGCACUUGAUACUGGGUGACUAGAGGACCGGAGAGGAUAGUGGAAUUCCCAGUGUAGUGGUGAAAUACGUAGAGAUUGGGAAGAACACCAGUGGCGAAGGCGGCUAUCUGGACGGUUACUGACGCUAAGACUCGAAAGCGUGGGGAGCAAACAGGAUUAGAUACCCUGGUAGUCCACGCCGUAAACGAUGGGUGCUAGACGUUGGCGAGCUUGCUCGUCAGUGUCGCAGCUAACGCGUUAAGCACCCCGCCUGGGGAGUACGGCCGCAAGGUUGAAACUCAAAGGAA